rnacentral:tRNA from 1 species
UGGGGCGUAGCCAAGUGGUAAGGCGCCAGGUUUUGACCCUGUUAUUCGGAGGUUCGAAUCCUUCCGUCCCAG